rnacentral:misc_RNA from 1 species
AGCAGCAGCCCCGCGCCCGCAGCCACAGACAACAAUGGGGCGUGCUAAGAGGACUAGGAGGUCAAGCCGCCGUGCUCUCUUCCCCGAUCCCCUUCCGAUUUGUGCAGCACACAUUUGAGUUCUUACCGUUUCGGCUCCCUUCACUGCGUUUCCCCCGCUUUUUUCGAGAGCCUUAGAAGAACAGGAGACAGGAGGAAAAAGAUUUACGGUGUUGAGUGAGUCUACUCUUCACCAUUCCGAUGACGCGCUUCGCCAUCUGUUUACGUCUUCGCCUUCUACGUAAUCGCUCUUAUCACAUCAGCUCUCGACGAAUCGAGGCACUGCAGGUGCUCGACCCCCCCCCCCCCCCCCCCCCCCGCGCCCUUUUCCGCUCCUUUGAGCGCUCACCACUACUAGGGAUGCUUGGGUGACCCAAGAAAAAAAGUCACAUACUCCUUCCUGUUCGUGCGAUCCAUUACCGGAUAAUGACAUCGAAACAGCAGAAUUUUCACUGAUGCCUUUGCCACGACUAGAGGCAUCGAUGGGCGAACGGAGGGGGCACCAGAUCAGCAUACGCUUCCCGGUAAAUAGGACGCUGGCCAGCUCGGGAAGGGUUGGUUGUAGGUGUCGGAAUGCAUCAUGCCCAUCUUUUCACAUGACUUUCUCUCUCUCCAUUUACUUUGUUGUCACCUUCGGCUCCCCCACCGAUGAGCACACCGAACAAG